rnacentral:misc_RNA from 1 species
CUUUUCGAUCGAUCCGAAAUAGCGGCAUCGACUCUUCGCGGACAAAAACUCGUUCGGCGAUUAUGGAUCCCCGCCUUCGCGGGGAUGACAUCGAAUGUUUGGCCGCAUUCAAUCUUCAGAUGCCAANNNNNNNNNNNNAACGCGUCCGAGGUGUGACGUGCUCCGCGCAAAUGCGCGAAGGCGAUGGAGCCUCGGGAGGCGCCGGGGUGCUUGCGAGACACCCGUAAGGCGAACCUUGCGAUCGGCCCGCCUGCGCAGUCUUGCGAGGACCGCGCGCGCCAAAUGACUUUGGCGCUGCGCCUCCC